rnacentral:rRNA from 1 species
ACUCAAAGGAAUAGACGGGGGCCCGCACAAGCGGAGGAACAUGUGGUUUAAUUCGAUGAUACGCGAGGAACCUUACCCGGGCUUGAAAUGCAGAGGAAUAACGUGGAAACAUGUUAGUCAGCAAUGAUCUCUGUGUAGGUGCUGCAUGGUUGUCGUCAGCUCGUGCCGUGAGGUGUCGGCUUAAGUGCCAUAACGAGCGCAACCCUUAUCGAUAGUUACUAACAGGUUAAGCUGAGGACUCUAUUGAGACUGCCACCGUAAGGUGUGAGGAAGGUGGGGAUGACGUCAAAUCAGCACGGCCCUUACGUCCGGGGCGACACACGUGUUACAAUGGGGGGUACAGAGGGUUGCUACCUAGUGAUAGGAUGCUAAUCUCAUAAAGCCUCUCUCAGUUCGGAUUGGAGUCUGCAACUCGACUCCAUGAAGCUGGAUUCGCUAGUAAUCGCGCAUCAGCCAUGGCGCGGUGAAUACGUUCCCGGGCCUUGUACACACCGCCCGU